rnacentral:rRNA from 1 species
CGUAGGUGGCGAGCGUUGUCCGGAAUUAUUGGGCGUAAAGGGAGCGCAGGCGGGAGGUCAAGUCUAUCUUAAAAAGUGCGGGGCUCAACCCCGUGAGGGGAUGGAAACUGGUCUUCUUGAGUGCAGGAGAGGAAAGCGGAAUUCCUAGUGUAGCGGUGAAAUGCGUAGAUAUUAGGAGGAACACCAGUGGCGAAGGCGGCUUUCUGGACUGUAACUGACGCUGAGGCUCGAAAGCGUGGGGAGCGA